rnacentral:rRNA from 1 species
UAGCACUAAGCGGAGCAAUCUGGUCCCUUCCGUGCCCGAGUUGUAAUUUGAAGAAAGCUGUCUUGGAUUUGGCCUUUGUCUAUGUUCCUUGGAACAGGACGUCACAGAGGGUGAGAAUCCCGUGCGAUGAGGUGUCCAUUUCUAUGUAAGACGUUUUCGAAGAGUCGAGUUGUUUGGGAAUGCAGCUCUAAGUGGGUGGUAAAUUCCAUCUAAAGCUAAAUAUUGGCGAGAGACCGAUAGCGAACAAGUACUGUGAAGGAAAGAUGAAAAGAACUUUGAAAAGAGAGUGAAAAAGUACGUGAAAUUGUUGAAAGGGAAGGGUAUUCGAUCAGACUUGGUAUUUAGUUAUCAUUACUCCUUGUGGGUGGUGCUCUAGCUUUUUACUGGGCCAGCAUCAGUUUUGGUGGCAAGAUAAUGGCAGUUGAAUGUGGCUCCUCGGAGUGUUAUAGCUUCUGCUGAUAUUGCCUACUGGGACUGAGGUCUGCGGCUUUUGCCUAGGAUGCUGGCGUAAUGAUCGAAUACC